UCCUACGGGAGGCAGCAGUGGGGAAUAUUGGACAAUGGGCGCAAGCCUGAUCCAGCCAUGCCGCGUGUGUGAAGAAGGCCUUUUGGUUGUAAAGCACUUUAAGCGAGGAGGAGGCUUACCUGGUUAAUACCUGGGAUAAGUGGACGUACUCGCAG
rnacentral:rRNA from 1 species